CGCCCGCCGCGCGCGGCGGGCCUACGGGAGGCAGCAGUGGGGAAUAUUGCACAAUGGGCGCAAGCCUGAUGCAGCCAUGCCGCGUGUAUGAAGAAGGCCUUCGGGUUGUAAAGUACUUUCAGCGGGGAGGAAGGCGAUAAGGUUAAUAACCUUGUCGAUUGACGUUACUCGCAGAAGAAGCACCGGCUAACUCCGUGCCAGCAGCCGCGGUAAUA
rnacentral:rRNA from 1 species